GUAAAUAUGUGAUUAAUUACAUCUUUUACUUUCCAUUUGACUCCCAAUAAUUAAGAUUACAUUCCUAUGAAGUGUGAAGUGUGUCUAAAAGUCUUCUUCUUUAAAACACGAUAGAAAUUUUUAUUAAAAUCUGAAAACCCAGUUGUCCAAAUUCUGAUUGAAGUGGAAAGCAGAUACAAAAUUCAGAAUUCCAGCACUACAAAAUGUACAAGCACACGAUGCCAGAGUUCUGAGAGUGAGAUUUAUAGAUAUAUCCAAAGAUUAUCUCAUACAUGAAAGAAGAAUAAAGCUCUUCAUCCUCUCAACUAUGCUCAAUUUAUAGAUUUGAUCUAUACCCUACACAUUUAUCGAGUUCAAAAGAAAGAACAAAAGUAUCUCACCACAUUCCAAUUCCACACCAAAACGCCAUUCUCCUUGAAUUAUACAAAACCAGUAUUCUGCACAAUUGUUCAAGGCUGCUUCCCUGGAUACCCUUCUAAGCCUCCUCAGAUGCGGUCUCUUUUCUGUCAUCUCUACUUCCCGAGGACCCAUUACCUGAAGAAUCUCUAAUGCGGUUGCAGCUGGGUCCAGCUCUGAGAAGCCUUUCAGUUAUGGAACUUGCAAACAAGAAAAUAUAGAAUGAUAGCUUUUCUUGACCAUCAUUACUUCCCUCCUGCAUUUCUAGUAAAUUUGGGAAAGCAGUGAAGUCUUAAAAAUAUAUUUAUGCAAUCUUUGCCAUGUUAAUCAUAAUUAUUGAUUCUAGUAAAAUUUGGACUGUACAAGUAAAUUAAUGAAUUCUAUGACUGUAUGCCAAAGUGAGUCGACGAAAAUUACAAGAGCCUAUUAUUAGAUAAAAACAUAAAUUGACACAAUAAAGCAACUUUUGAAUACAGUGUAACAUGCAGAACAACCAAGAACACUUUUCCAUUUAAUAUAUAACGCCCUUUGAAAUUAAUACAUUCACAAUGUGGCAUCUCACAGUUUUGACUUCCGUGUAUAUCAUGAACAUGGAUGGUUAGAAGUUCUCAUUCCCCAUACCAGUGAGCACAUAGUUUAAAUUAAAAGUAAUAAGUCACUUAUUUCAAAGCAAGAAACAGAUUAUGGAUAAAUAAUAGGACAAGUAAAACUUACUCUUAAGAGACAGCACACCUAAAAUGGUUCGUGCAACCUGGCAAAUGAAGAAGAGUUCAUUUUGCAUUCCACUGCAAAAGUUGUAUGGCCAGCCAACACAGCUCGUCUAGAACCAGUUACAUCUAACUGCCAAAAAUAAGGUGAAAUCCACAAGUAGAGUCAAGGAAUGGAAAUCGAGAUUUAUUAUGUUAGCCCUAGAUCAUUCAAUUCUCCAAAGACAGCAGCUCGUAGACUCCUUUCUAUACCCAACUACAAGAAUAAAGCCUUCAACACUCAAUGCAAUUAAUAUUCCAAAAGUUGAACCAGCAACACAGAAAAGAUGCGCGCAAUCAGAAAGAGUUGAGAGUAAAGGUAACCUAAUAACAAGCAGAAACAAAUGCAGAGAUAAUUAAAAAACAUUGAGAUCCCAUCGUUGACUCAAACCCUCCUCCUUUUCCGGGCUUGGGACCGGCUGUGUUUAGCAAACAUGCAACACAGGCGGAGUUAAAAGAGUCAACUACAUAAAAUCAAGACAGACACACAAUGAAACAACUUUAAAACACAGUAUAGUAUGCAGCAAAUCCAAGAACAUCUUGCCAUUUUCAAAUAUUGUCUUUGUUCCCUUCAAAAUUUGACUUACCAACAACCAGAAUUGUGCAUAGAAGCAAAUAUUACGAAAUAUUGAAAGACACAAAAUUGUGAAUUAGAGGAGAAAUACUGGUAAAAUGAACUUUUUAGUUCCAAGUAUCGAUUUAUAUUUCUCUGCCAAUUCCUCAUUUUAUGGGCCAGUAGUGGUGGGAUUAUGCAGAAGUUUUGUCUACGAGCAAAAUAUGCAAGCGUGAGAUGGAUUUAUUUAUGAUCAUGUAAGUAUCUACAUACUUGACACCGUCAAUCUAAGUUGAUCCAAAGAAUAAAAAACCAGUUUGUAAUAACAAAGGGUAAUCAAAGAGACUGAAUAGGGUAUGAGGCAAAAUUUUAGAGUAAUAGUUAAAUGGAAAAAGUAUUGUGUACUGAAUAUGCCUCCUAGCCAACUUGUAUUUAUAUAUCCUUUGGUCUGUCCACCUAACAAUAAUCGACUGUGCAGGGAAAAGUGUGGAUUACAGUGAGAGAGAGCUCCUUCGAACUUGCGAGUCAAAACCAUCCAUACCGAGCAUAUCAUCAUAGGUGUUGAUUGUUAUUAGCAAGCUAAUAGUGCAUGUUCUGUAUAUUUCAGACACUUAAUAUUUCCAAAGCUGAUAGCAGCUUUCCUCUUCGAUACAGAAAGCCUAAGACGUGCACUCAGGUACAACACAAGAAAAACAAGAGACACUGACAAAUAUUCUGUCAAGGCUACACACAAGGUGGAAGAAAAUUUUGAAUUCAACUGGCACCACUGAUUAAUAAAUACCAAAUGCCCAAAUAAGAUUCAAGCCUCCUACACUUAGUGUGCAGCAUCUGCGAAAAAAUACAGCUUAAAGCUGGACUCCAGCUGCAAGGAUACCUCUCAAGAGUGGCUUCCAACAGUUCACAGCUAACCUAAAUUCAACUCCAUAAUAUAUCAGAUGACAAUGUAACAGAAAGUUGAUUAGUUAUCAGUUGUCUGAAAAGUAGUCCCAACAUUACCUUAAAUAUGAGCUCCUUGGUUAUACUUGGAAUUGUGGAAUAGCAGAGAAACACCACAUGUAACCAAGUGGACAGCCCCAAAAAUAUCAUAGCUUCUUUAUAUUAUUAUAUUUGAACUGGAGAAAAAAGAGAAAUGUGGCUCCAAAAGCACACACUACAGAGUAGAGGAUCUAAGCAUGUGCUCAAAUGGAACUGAUGAAAUCAGUUAUCAAAAUGCAGGCCAGAUAAACCACAGAGUCCAGAAGGAACGCUAUUCAAACCCUUAACUGUGCCAAGGAAGUUCGUAGGCAAAUAAAUCAAAUAAGUUGAAAAACAGACUGUGUAACCGAAUGGUUAUUGUCUUACUGCCGUCGACAACAAAUAAAGAACCAAAUCCAAGCUGAUUAAUCUGUAGAUAACCGCAACAGCCUUUUCAAAUCUAGCCCGAAAUUCAUCAAUAUAACCUCAAAUUGAAGCUUUUAAACAAGGAAUCAACCACAUGCAAUCAUGAACAAAUUAGUUCAAAGUCACCUGCAUAAAAGUAAUGUGCACAGGAUCACAGCAAGGAAGUGUGGUCUAACUAACCAGGGCAAGGGGUGGUCUAACUGUUGUGCAUGUGGCUCAUAUAGAGUGGAACACAAUCCUGGAAUAGGGUAUUUAUUGUACGGACUUUAAAGUCUUAUAUGGCCCAGGCUAGGGUUAGUAUAAAUAAUAUGUUGUAGUCCUAUAUUUCACUAUUGAAUAAAAACUAUCUCUGCUUCGCUCUCGUGAACAUAGGCGCAUCGUCGAACCACGUAAAUUCUUGUGUUGAUUUUCUUUUUCAUCUCUUUAUUAUAGCACAUAAAAUCCAACACUAACUAACCAAAGCAAAAAAUCUAUGAACCUCACAAUCAUGAACGAUAAAGAACCCAAGAGUUGGCAAAAACAAUUGUCUGAAUUAUGUACGAGUGAGAGUUGAUCAUUGGUCUAUUUUUUAAUCUAUUUCUUUGCAGGAUUGCUCGUUUGGUCUAAUUUUAAGUUACCUUUGACGGUGGAGUAACCAGGAAUCAACCAACACAAAAGGAUUCCAAGAAAAUUAAUCAAGACUUAGAAUAGAAAACAUCCAGGCAGAAAUUUCAACUCACGAAUAUCACCAUGAAGCCUUGCAGAACUGCAAAUUCAAUCGUGCAAGGAAGAGAUGCAAAGUCAAUCACAUUAUUAAAAAUAGAAUAUGCCACAAGCGAAAGAAGCCAAUCUGCCUUUUUCAAAAUCCUUAAGAAUCAUAAAUCUCCAGUGCUGCAUCAGUAGCAUCUUUUUUGAAAACAAUUGAAUUUGGUUUGUAUAUCUUCAACAAAGAUGAAAUGAAGAAUCAUUGAAUUGAAAACAAGAUCAAACAAAGCAGAUAAAUCCAGAGAACCUGCAACGAACUUUCAGUCGUCACCCAGGGAAGACGCGUCAUCCAGCAGCUAGCACACCACCACCCUGAGAGGUUACCAACACCUUAAAGAAAAGGGGAAAAUGAUCAUUGAAUUAACCAGCAUAGAACCACAUGAGCCUGCAACCAAGUUUUGCUAGUUCAGCCUCAGUAAUCAACCUCACAACUACACCAUCACAGAAUACCCAUGACCUGAAAGAAAUUGUUCACAACAUGAAGUAACAAAAUCCAAUUAUGACUAACAUUUAGUGGACAAGUCACCUGCAUAAAGUGAUGCUCAAAAACAUCAUAACCGGGAAACUAUUACAGAUCCAUGCUCAUUCAAUGCAGUCUCUCCAUCAAAAACUUUAUGAACUACUGACGGACACGGGAUCCACGGACAAGAAGGAUAACAGUAAAGAGUAGAAUGAUAUCCAACGGGAAAGAAAAUAUCUAACUUCAUCCCCAACAGCCAUCUAAGAUCAUGUCACUGACCUCGGAAGCAAAAAGUGUGUGAACAAAUGAGGAGCACUUCAAAUUUGUAACAUCAGAUAUCUACUAGAUUUUGAUCAUUCAACCAAACUAACUGCAAAAGCACCCAAGACUUUGUUCAUUUCUUCAAGAUAUUUAAACUCCAUGGUAUUUUAUUUUACCACGGAACUUCCAAGAAAAUGGGGAAAUUCAGAAUCUGAUAAAUCCUCCCCUAAUUCUAUCAUCUUGAAAUUGAAGGUACGACACAACGUUUUUUUUCCGGAGCCUUGAUGUUUACUUCAUUCAUCCGACCUUUAGAUCAUUUAACAUCCAACUAUCAUUCUGAUAUGCUCAAUUACAUAAAUGAAGGUAGAGACAAAAGAACUUCAACUUACUAGCAGAAGGUGGCACAGAUCUAGCAAAACACUGAAGGGAAAGAUCAAAUAAAAUAUCAGAGCAAGACAGCAGUGAAGUGAUAUAAUUCAAGCGUUUCUAGCUUAGCUUAACUAAUUGCACUGAAUUUUAGUAACGCAUAGAAGUGCAUAACCUCAAUAAUCCACUCUGAUAUCGUUACACCUGGAUUUUAUAUCUGCAUUCUAUAUAGAACAAAUCCCCAUAAGUUCAUGACAAACUAAUCAACAACAAAAAAAUCAAUAAAUAAUUUUCUAAUGACAAUAAAUUUUUUCCCCUGGAAAAUCAAGGAGCAAAAAGAUUUAGUCCCCGUUUGUUUCUCAUUAUUUGCCCAUUAAAAUGAAAAAUAUGACCUUUAUCCGUCACAUCAAGCCACCAUAUUUGACUUUCUAUCUCUUGUGUGGAGCCCGUAACGACUAUAUUUUUCAUUCUCAUUUUUACAUUAAUGUGUACUAAACGGGGCCAUAAUAAAAAAUAUCAACAAACUUCUUUCAAGAUCCCAAUAAUAAUAAUAAUAAAUUUAAAAAAAAAAUAGAAAGGACCUAUUCUAUUCGAUUCUUUUUUUUACACCUUCAUUGGAUAGAUAUACAAAAAAGAAAAAUUAAUUAAAACCUUUAAAUAUUAACAUUAACCAAAACCAAGGCAUACGUAUAAAGACCACACGCCAGUUGAAAAUAGGGUUGUAGUAAUUGCCUCUGAUGCUCAAGACUAUUCAAAAUAGUUGAAAUACCCGUGUCGGAUACGUCACAACAUGGGUAAGGGUAUGAAAUAUGUAUCAGAUCCUCCAAAUUUCAACCGAACGCUUCAUCGUUUUUGCUUCUUCUUCUUUUUUUUCCUUUACUUUUUCCCUUUUCUUUUCCUUCCUUCUUCUUCUUAUUUAUUUUUUCUUUCCAAUUUCUUCCUUUUCCUUCUUUAUCUCUCUAUAAUGGUAAUUUAAGGUUUAGUUUGUAUAAAAUAAAAAUAAGUUUAAUAUAGUGCUAAUUACUGCUUCACGAAGUCCAAAUUACAAUCAAAUUCUUCAUUUUCUAUUUUAUAUAACAUUUAGUAAUUCUCAUAAUUGAAAACUAUGUCUCACAAUUCUAUUUUAUUCGUUUUAACCUCUUAUUCAAUAUUUAUUUCCUUCUUUGUGAAUAAUUUUGGUCUAUUCAAAAUUACAUUUUAGAUUGUAAAAAAAUUGAAUUAUUAAAGACAUACCCACGUAUCCGUAUCUGAAAUUUGGACUCUCUUUAAAAAUGUUCCUGCAUCCUAUAUUUUAGAAAAUAAAAAAUUCGACACUUAGAUAUGAACUAGUGCCCGAUAGCCGUACCCGUAAGCAACAGUCCAAAGAACCCAUCAUCUGAUUAUGACAUGAAAGGAUUUAUGUGCAGUAUAGAAAAUUACCAUGCAAUCAAUCAAUUUUUUCAUUGUGCAUAUCAGUACCAUAGCAUGGAAGUUACCAACUGGUGACCAAUCUUUAUAUAACUGAACAUCCAAGAAGACCCCAAGGAACUGUCAUCAAGCUAUAUUGGAAAUUCCUGUGCAGUACAAUGCCAGACUUUAAUAUAGAGGACAAUUCAUGAUAUAACUACAACUAUUGAUAAUUUCAAACAGAUGGACAGUAUCGAGGGAGCUUAAUCUUUUAUAAAUAGUAUGUUGUUUCAUCUAUCCAACAAGAAGAUCCCUGACAAGAAGUUUGUUCCAACGAAUUCUUUCCUUGCAAGUUGAAGGUCCAGAAAUGCAGAGAGAACUACCUAAUUCAUAAACCAACACACACAAAGCUAACACCUUAUUAGUUACCUGAUUCAUGUGUCAUCCUCUCCCCAUCAAAGCUAACUGCACACGGAGGAACAUCAAAAACCUUAAGGCAUUUUAUACUAAACUGAAGAGAGUCCAGAUUCCAGUUCAUGUAGAGCAAAGAUAGAUGUAAUCGCCAAUGUGAAUGUAGCCGCAAAAUAGUUUCCCUUCACAGCUCAGACCUUGUAAAAUGAUCAGACUCCACAUAAACAACCCCAAUGCACACACUGAAACUGAUGAACCAGAAAUGAGCAAAGAAAAGAGAAGAAUUUUACACCCUUUCCUCCAUAAGAAUCGAAUAUUAUUUGACCAAAGGAUUUCCAGCUGUGGAUGAAAAAGCACCAAAGAAAACCAGAUUCUGUACCAAUAUGAAGUGAGAAUCACAUUCCAAACAACUCUUAAAAAUAUAUCAUUAAAACAAACCACAACAAAAAAUUAACAAUAUUGGCUCCACUGUCCUGAAAACCACUUUACUAUUCCUGACCCAUGCAGGUGCCCCAAUAAGUUCAAAUGAAUUCCUUCCUUUCAAGUUGAAGGCCUUGUCUACAAGAACAAACUAUAGGUACAAAGGCCAACAAAAUCAUAAACUAACACCACACAUAAACUUAACACCUUAUCAGUUACAUGUGUCAUCCUCUUCCAGUCGAAUCUAUCAGCAAAUGCAGAAGCACAUCAGAGAACCUAAGGUGAUUUAAAAGACUAAAAAAACUAGAUUCCAUUUCAUGUUAGAGCAAAGACUAAGAAAGAUUACAAUUUACCAAUACACAUGUAGCUGCAGUGAACAAUGAAUAAGUUCCCCUUAACAUGGCCUUGGUCUUUGUAAACUGAUCAAACUCCACAUGAACUCCCCCAAUACACAACUGAGACUGAUGAACCAGAAAUGAGUGAAGAAAAAGAAAGGAAAAUCUUACACCGUUUAUUCCGUAAAUAUCCAUUUUUAUUUGACCAAAACGAUUUCCAGCUGUGGAUGAAACACCAAAGGAAACCAGAUUCUGUACCAAUAUGUAUGUGAAGAUUAUAUUCCAAUCAACUCACAGAAACGUCAUUUAUAACAAACCACAGCAAACAAUUAACGGCGUUGUUUUCCCCACCAUCAACCGCUUAAAACUGCAAAUUCCUAAGGAAUAAAGCAAUGUAUAAAACUACCAAAGGAAGCCUUCUGUUAGGAUCAAAUGACAGAAAUGGUACCAGAGGACUAAAACUCCAUUCUUAGCAGAAAAGAUCAAAGGAGUGGGUUCCAAAUCACCACAACCUGCAACACCACUAUACACUAAACAAGACAUAAUUUGCCAAUCAGAAUCAAGCUUGUGUGCAUUUUGAAAUUAAUCUAUGCACAAUCAAGACACUGAAAUACCAGAGGACUAAAACUCCAUUCUUAGCAAAACAGAUCGAAGGAGUGGGUUCCAAAUCACCACAACCUGCAACACCACUAUACACUAAACAAGACUAAUUUGCCAAUCAGAGUCAAGGUUGUGUGCAUUUUGAAAUUAAUCUACGCAGAAUCCAGACACUGAAAACUGAACUCAACCUAAAAAAAGAAGAAUCUGAGGGAGAGGAAAUAAACAAGGAUAAAAAUCUACUUAUAGCGAAAAAAAGUCGAGCGUGAAGAGGUUACCACGACAGAACACCAUCGUCUCAAAGGGGACAACAAAUGCUACUAUCACUGAAGAUCAAAAACAUGAGUUGAAAAUUUCGUGCCCCUUCUCCAUAUGGUGUCACUGUCCACCCAAAUAUCAUCUGCGAAUACCUAAAUUAUUUAGAAAUAUAAGAGUACAACUUAUCAUGUGAAAAUAUUAUCCUAAACAAACCACAGGAAAUAAUUAUUUAGCUUCAGAACUGCCUUUCACUACGAACACUAAGCCUAAACAGUAGAAGUAUUCGGAAUAGAUGUUCUAACCAAGUGAAACAUAAGUCUGCCUGUUGACCUCAUCUCAUAAUACCCCUUCAGAGAUAAGAUAUGUACAUGGAAAACUGACGAGCAGAAUUGUGAAUACUCUUAUCCAUUAGUAAAUGCAGAAUCGAAGGUAAAAUUUGAGUUCAAGGAAAGAGAGAAUGAACUUCAUACAAACAAGCAGGUGCAAAAAAUCCUCCCAUCAUCCUGCAAUUUCAAUGCUACAAAAGUUGUAGUAGAUUGAACUGUCGCCGUCUACUAACGUAGGGUAGUUCUCUACAGAAGUAGAGAAGAAAAUGGAAAUAUAGAUAGAAACAUCAUAUCCAACUAUAAAGGGUGCUUGCUCAAAAAAGGGUAAUGGAUCAGUAUAUAUUAGAAAUAUGAUAACAUUGAAACCCGAGUGCUCAAAAAUACUAGGAAAGAAUGUUACGAAAACAAGUCAUUGCACCUCCGAUAUUAGCGAAACUGUGUUCCUUCGAAGAGCUCAAUAUUUCAUCAAUCUUGCCCAAACUUAGAGUUCUGUUCUUAUCAAUGCCAACUGCCAGUCUGCCACCCUAUCUAGUAGGUACCCAUCUGGAUCAAGGGUUAUAGAAAAGGAUAGGAAGUAUUUUCAACAAACCAAACGAAGACCAUGAAAUUAGCAGCUUAAGUUUCCAAAACAGCCGACAAAAGCUUGAAAGAUCGGAUGGUCACCACAGCAAUUUUUAUAAACAGUUUCUGCAAACAGAAAGGGAAAAAGGCAGGAAGCUGAAAAGAGGGGGAAAAUUGAAUGGAAUAAGAAAUGAUGGUAAAAGGAUAGAAAAUACAAAUAGAUUGAUGACACCCUGAGACCCAAUAGUUUCCCUAUCACACAUUACUCUUCUUGUCGAAUCUGCAUGUGGAAAAAAAAACAUCAAAUAACCUAAGGCAUUUUAUAUGAAAAGACCCAAAAAAAAGCUCUACAUGAGCACAGUCUGAGAGAGGUUACAAAUCAACAUCGUAAGCGUGGGCCGUGGCUGCAGUAAACGACGACUAGGUUUUCCCCUCCAGAACACCUUAUAAAAUAACCAGUGUCCACCUGAAUUCCCCCAAGCACAAGCUGAGACCAUUGAACAAGAAAUCAAGUAAAACAUCUGAGAAUCUUACACCCAUUUUUAUUAAUAUCCAUAAUCACGACGACUUCCAUCAGCGGAUGAAGAAUCACAACAGAAAACGGUUUUCCCAUUAUAAAUGUGAAGAUCAUAUUCCAUGCAACUAACAGAACAUAGUUCAAUAAGACCACCGAAAACCAUAUAAAUAAUUGCUUCACCACCAUCCUGAAAACCACUUGAUGCAAUUCCUGAGAACCAAAUAAACUCAUAAAGACACACCAAAGAAAGCCUUUUGUAUGGGUCAAAUGAUAAAAAAUAAAAACCCAAAAUCACAAAAGUAGGCUCCACCGCACCCCCACCAGUAACACCACUUUCUGAUAAUUAACAGUUCACACCUAAAUUUUCUGAUGGCAGUUGAAAUCGCAUGCACUUAAAACCAAAUAAAUAGAUUCCAGGUGCAAAAAUUUGCGUCCAAACAACUCCAUGUCUUAAUCACUAAAACAGAUCUGGACCUAUAAAAAAUCUGAACAGGAGGAAAUAAAACCAGGGCAAAAAAUCUAGAUGAAGUAAAUAAAAUCAAGCAGAAAUAGAUUGGUCCCAAAAAAGGAGGGGAAACGAGCAGCUAAAACAACCCAUAAAUCAUGAAAAACUCCAACUAUACAAAUAACGAGUAUCAAGAAAAUUAAUUUGAGAAAUACCAGUUCCACGCCUGGCAAUGGCACCAAAAUCCAAUCCUUCUAUAUAGAUUCUUGAAAUAACUGUCAGUGUAUCUAGCUGGGAUGGCCAACCAAAAAACCAACACCAAACCACCAAAAGCAAGGAAGAAAGCCACAAAAUGGACGGGCUAAAACCACCAAAAAAUCCUCAUGAAAACCCAAGAUUAAAAAUAAUUAGUAUUAAGAAAAUACCAGUUUGCAAUAUCACCAAAACUCAUCCUUCCAAAGCUUCUUGGAAUUAAUGUCAGUAUAUCUAUUAUUAUCAUCAUCAUACAAGGAAAUCAUAAUUAGGAUUCAAUGGAUAAAUAAAAAUAAAUAAAAAUCCAAAGUUUCGGCCAGAGAAAAAAACUCCAAACCUUCAAAACUUCUUCCCACCCCACUAAUAGUAAUCGAUAAAAAAUUAUCAACACUUGUACUGCCACCAAAAUACCAAAAUCAGCAACUGCUGAACCAAAGAAGAAAAAUCAGAAAGACCAAGUUUGCAUAAUGAAUAUCAAGAAAAUACCAGAAACCCAGAUUCUUGAAAUUAUUGUCAGGAUAUCAAGAAAACACUAUAUACUUUCAAGUUAGGAUUCAAGUGCUAAACAAAAAAAUCCCGUUUUUGCAAAAUUAUGAGAACUACACAGGAGAGAAAAGUAACUAAUCAAAUCAUAUCAUAAGUUCUUAUUCUCGAUCCAGUAACUGGAAUCAAUACAAAAUUACUAAAAGCUUGGACGACCACAAGCAUCUGCCAAACCAAAAAAGAAAACCCAACAAAACGGAGGAAAACGGGAUAAACAUAAAGGCCAAUGUUCCAAUCAUGAGUAUCAAGAAAUUACCAGCAACCCGGGUUCUUUAAAUGAUGGUCUCGGACAAGGAAAUCACAACACCUUCAAGUUAGGAUUAAAGGGAUAAACGAUAAAUCAAACUUGAUCAAAUCAGGGAAGAAAAACCCAUGGAGAAUCAUCAGAAGAGUGUCAAGAAAAUACCAGAAACCCAGAGUUGAGUGAUUAUCUGCUUGAUCAUCGGACCAGGAAAUCACAAUAUCUAAUAUUAACAAACCAAGAAAGAAAACCCCACAAAACGGAGGAAAACGGGAUAGAACUGCCAAAGAAUUAUCAGAAAGAUCCAAGCUUCAAAUAAUGAGCAUCAAGAAAAUAACCAUGAACCUAGGUUCUUGGACUGAUUACCAGUAUAUCUAUCAUCAGACCACGAAAUCAUAAUAUCUUCACGUUAGAAUUCAAGAGUAUAUCUAUCAUCAGACCAAGAAAUCAUAAUAUCUUCACGUUAGAAUCCAAGGAAUGAACGAGAAAACCCAAGUUCUUCCAAAAAUACGGGAAUCGAGAAAAUACCAUAAACCCAGAUUGUUGGAAUGAUUACCAAUACAUCUAUCAUCAGAGCAGGGAAAUGAUAAUAUCUUCACGUUGGAAUUCAAGGGAUGAACGAGAAAACCAAAGUUCUUUCAAAAACACGAAAAUCCACAAGGGGGAUUCAUACCAUCGAAUUUCCUAUGCUCAAUCCAAUAAUUGAAAUCAAUGACACACGACCACCAAUAACAAAAGCAACACCGAAAAAUAAUACCAACCCGAACCACCGGCUUCCUGAUGAUUGAUGAACAAGGCUGGGCGAUCCAAUUUAUAGACAAUUAGAGGGGAGAUAAACGGCUAGAUAAAGUUAAUCUGAACGGUCAAAUUCGCAUUACCAUCAUUGUGGAAAUCGGAAACUUCGUAAGUCGGUGAGUUUUAGGCGGCGAUGAUUGUCAGAGUC
rnacentral:lncRNA from 1 species